UAAGUCAGGCGGCCGCUGCCCAACCCGCCCCCCCAACCCCCGCCCCAGCUCCGCGUCUCUCUCUUGCCCGCCCGCGGCCCGGGAACCGGCCCUGCGCUCCCCAGCUCGCCUCUGUUCGCAGCCCGCCGGGUGCGCAUCAGGCUCGCCCUGGCUCGGGAGAUGCUGUAGGGCUGCGUGUUCCAGGUGACUCCAGCCAUAGCCAGGCGUGAUCCGAUGAUACUGAUGGGUACCUCUCCCAGGAGAGGACCCUUCCGGGCGGAGUGCACCCGGGGCCCAGCUCCUGUCCCCGCCCCCAACCCUUUGCCGGCUCGUUUCGAGGGUGCGAAUUGGGUUCUUUGCCCCCCACUAAAUAGCAACAGUUUGGCCACGCUCAAGUGGAAUAAAGUAGAGGCGGCUCGGUUUCCUGACAGGCGGUGGCAGAUAGCAGCGGCGGAGGCUAUCCUUAGCUGAGGAGGGAAGGUGACAGAUAGGGACUUAGGGACUGCUUGAGAACCAAUUGAGAUUGUUUUUUUUAACUGCUACCUUUUGGAGACAACAAAACAUGCCAAUAAGUAAACAAGUUGGAAGCUGGCUGCUCCUGAGGAGACUUCGGACGUGUUCAGGCCGUCAUGGACGCCUACCUCUUUGCUUUUCCUUCCCCCCCCCCCCCGCCGCCUUCUCCAACCCCAUUUUGGGCAUUUCCGAGACAUCCCCCCCUUUCCCACCCUCAUCUGCAUCUGGGCGCCUACAGACCCUUUCCUGGCUUGGGCUUCCAUAACUGCCCAGGAUAAUUCUGAGUCAGGCUGAUGGAGGAGGAAGAGCGAAGAGGAUCUGUGAUUUGGGAAGGGGAUUUCUUCCACAAUUCUGCGGUUCCUUUUUUUUUCCCCUCAAAAAUUGAACUCUGCGUGGCGUUUGGCUCGUUUGCCCCGUCUGAGUGGGACCUGCGGUAGUGGCC
rnacentral:lncRNA from 1 species